AGUGAACGCUGGCGGUAGGCCUAACACAUGCAAGUCGAACGGCAGCACAGUAAGAGCUUGCUCUUACGGGUGGCGAGUGGCGGACGGGUGAGGAAUACAUCGGAAUCUACUUUUUCGUGGGGGAUAACGUAGGGAAACUUACGCUAAUACCGCAUACGACCUACGGGUGAAAGCAGGGGAUCUUCGGACCUUGCGCGAUUGAAUGAGCCGAUGUCGGAUUAGCUAGUUGGCGGGGUAAAGGCCCACCAAGGCGAGGAUCCGUAGCUGGACUGAGAGGAUGAUCAGCCACACUGGAACUGAGACACGGUCCAGAGUCCUACGGGAGGCAGCAGUGGGGAAUAUUGGACAAUGGGCGCAAGCCUGAUCCAGCCAGACCGAGUGGGUGAAGAAGGCCUUCGGGUUGUAAAGCCCUUUUGUUGGGAAAGAAAAGCAGCAGGUUAAUACCCCGCUGUUCUGACGGUACCCAAAGAAUAAGCACCGGCUAACUUCGUG
rnacentral:rRNA from 1 species